rnacentral:lncRNA from 10 species
UUUACUCUUACCAAUAGCUGUGGUGUAUUCUUGCCUGCAACGCUGUGAGAGGGUCUAGAAGGUUAAAAAGGGGAUAGGGAAAGUCCCCAAACAGCAACCUGGAUGCUCUGAGGAACUGAGUAGAAGUCACAGGGCUGCUGACAAGGAGAAGGCUGUUAGGAGGAAAUGAUCAGACUAUAAAUGGUGUGGAUACGAUGAGCACAGAUUUGUUCAUCAGAUCCUGAAAUAUAGCAGUGCUUUGGAACCACAAGUGGGGCAAGUUCAGGACAAGUCAGCGGAAAUACUACUUCAUGCAGCAGGACUCUGUGCUGACCCAGCAUGAAGCCUGUCCCGCAGUAAUGAAGUUGCCUGUUUCUCUGUCUCCCACACUGCACUGUAAGCUCUUGUGAGCAGGGAGUGUCUGGCAGAUGGUCCCAUCUAGAUUGAAGAUGUUGAAGACAGUCGGAGCUUUCAUCUUUGCGUGCGUCUCAGCCUUCAGCACAGAGCUCAGGCCAGGUGAGUGCCAUAUAUAAAUGUUAGUGACAAUGAAGUGACCCC